UACGUAGGGCGCAAGCGUUGUCCGGAAUUAUUGGGCGUAAAGAGCUCGUAGGCGGCUUGUCACGUCGGGUGUGAAAGCCCGGGGCUUAACCCCGGGUCUGCAUUCGAUACGGGCUAGCUAGAGUGUGGUAGGGGAGAUCGGAAUUCCUGGUGUAGCGGUGAAAUGCGCAGAUAUCAGGAGGAACACCGGUGGCGAAGGCGGAUCUCUGGGCCAUUACUGACGCUGAGGCGCGAAAGCGUGGGGAGCGAACAGG
rnacentral:rRNA from 1 species